rnacentral:rRNA from 1 species
UUGAACGCUGGCGGCAGGCCUAACACAUGCAAGUCGAACGGUAACAGGAAGCAGCUUGCUGCUUUGCUGACGAGUGGCGGACGGGUGAGUAAUGUCUGGGAAACUGCCUGAUGGAGGGGGAUAACUACUGGAAACGGUAGCUAAUACCGCAUAACGUCGCAAGACCAAAGAGGGGGACCUUAGGGCCUCUUGCCAUCGGAUGUGCCCAGAUGGGAUUAGCUAGUAGGUGGGGUAACGGCUCACCUAGGCGACGAUCCCUAGCUGGUCUGAGAGGAUGACCAGCCACACUGGAACUGAGACACGGUCCAGACUCCUACGGGAGGCAGCAGUGGGGAAUAUUGCACAAUGGGCGCAAGCCUGAUGCAGCCAUGCCGCGUGUAUGAAGAAGGCCUUCGGGUUGUAAAGUACUUUCAGCGGGGAGGAAGGGAGUAAAGUUAAUACCUUUGCUCAUUGACGUUACCCGCAGAAGAAGCACCGGCUAACUCCGUGCCAGCAGCCGCGGUAAUACGGAGGGUGCAAGCGUUAAUCGGAAUUACUGGGCGUAAAGCGCACGCAGGCGGUUUGUUAAGUCAGAUGUGAAAUCCCCGGGCUCAACCUGGGAACUGCAUCUGAUACUGGCAAGCUUGAGUCUCGUAGAGGGGGGUAGAAUUCCAGGUGUAGCGGUGAAAUGCGUAGAGAUCUGGAGGAAUACCGGUGGCGAAGGCGGCCCCCUGGACGAAGACUGACGCUCAGGUGCGAAAGCGUGGGGAGCAAACAGGAUUAGAUACCCUGGUAGUCCACGCCGUAAACGAUGUCGACUUGGAGGUUGUGCCCUUGAGGCGUGGCUUCCGGAGCUAACGCGUUAAGUCGACCGCCUGGGGAGUACGGCCGCAAGGUUAAAACUCAAAUGAAUUGACGGGGGCCCGCACAAGCGGUGGAGCAUGUGGUUUAAUUCGAUGCAACGCGAAGAACCUUACCUGGUCUUGACAUCCACGGAAGUUUUCAGAGAUGAGAAUGUGCCUUCGGGAACCGUGAGACAGGUGCUGCAUGGCUGUCGUCAGCUCGUGUUGUGAAAUGUUGGGUUAAGUCCCGCAACGAGCGCAACCCUUAUCCUUUGUUGCCAGCGGUCCGGCCGGGAACUCAAAGGAGACUGCCAGUGAUAAACUGGAGGAAGGUGGGGAUGACGUCAAGUCAUCAUGGCCUUUACGACCAGGGCUACACACGUGCUACAAUGGCGCAUACAAAGAGAAGCGACCUCGCGAGAGCAAGCGGACCUCAUAAAGUGCGUCGUAGUCCGGAUUGGAGUCUGCAACUCGACUCCAUGAAGUCGGAAUCGCUAGUAAUCGUGGAUCAGAAUGCCACGGUGAAUACGUUCCCGGGCCUUGUACACACCGCCCGUCACACCAUGGGAGUGGGUUGCAAAAGAAGUAGGUAGCUUAACCUUCGGGAGGGCGCUUACCACUUUGUGAUUCAUGACUGGGGUG